rnacentral:rRNA from 1 species
AAUCAACGCUGGCGGCGUGCCUCAGACAUGCAAGUCGAACGCGAAAGUUUCCUUCGGGGGACAAGUAGAGUGGCGCACGGGUGAGUAACACGUAGGUAAUCUACCUUUGGAUGGGGAAUAACAACCGGAAACGGUUGCUAAUACCGCAUAAUGCAGCGGCACCUAAUGGUGACAGUUGUUAAAGCGGGGGAUCGAAAGACCUCGCGUCUGAAGAGGAGCCUGCGGCGGAUUAGCUAGNGGUAAGGUAAUGGCUUACCAAGGCUACGAUCCGUAACCGGCCUGAGAGGGCGGUCGGUCACACUGACACUGACAUACGGGUCAGACUCCUACGGGAGGCAGCAGUCGGGAAUUUUGGGCAAUGGGCG